GACGAACGCUGGCGGCGUGCUUAACACAUGCAAGUCGUACGGUAAGGCCCUUUCGGGGGUACACGAGUGGCGAACGGGUGAGUAACACGUGAGUAACCUGCCCACAACUUUGGGAUAACGCUAGGAAACUGGUGCUAAUACUGGAUAUGUGCUCCUGCUGCAUGGUGGGGGUUGGAAAGCUCCGGCGGUUGUGGAUGGACUCGCGGCCUAUCAGCUUGUUGGUGGGGUAGUGGCCUACCAAGGCGGCGACGGGUAGCCGGCCUGAGAGGGUGACCGGCCACAUUGGGACUGAGAUACGGCCCAGACUCCUACGGGAGGCAGCAGUGGGGAAUAUUGGACAAUGGGCGAAAGCCUGAUCCAGCAAUGCCGCGUGAGUGAUGAAGGCCUUAGGGUUGUAAAGCUCUUUUACCCGGGAUGAUAAUGACAGUACCGGGAGAAUAAGCUCCGGCUAACUCCGUG
rnacentral:rRNA from 1 species